rnacentral:rRNA from 1 species
ACAUGUCUACAACAUAGCGUUAAUGCACUAGAUCCCAUUAGAACUCCACAGUUAAGUGCGCUCAAGCUAGAGUAGUACUGGAAUGGGUGACUGCCUGGGAAGUCCUAGUGUUUUACAUGCC